CUCCACUCAACAUAAGAAGUGGGUGCUGCUAUUUCACGCCACAUUGAGGAAACCAAGGCCUAGAGAGGUUUACCAACGUGUCCAGGACCCACAGCCAGAACCCAAGAGGCAAGCCCAGGUCUCUCCUGAUACUUCCACCAGGACCAUGGUCCUUUAAAGGGAAGAGGAUGCGGCAUGAAAGACAAGUGGAAGAAAAGAAAAUAGAAAAUUCUUCAGGCUAAGGGAAUAAAAGGUCAGAAAACAUCAAAGUUGAUGGAAACUGUGAGUUUCAUAGCCAAACCCCUUGGCUUAGUCCAGGAGGAAACUCUAGCCCAUAAAAAAAAAAAAGGAUUUGCUCAAGGAGUUGGGUUAGAGCCUGCACUUCCAAAACCCCACCAGUGCUUUUUGUACCAAGCCCUCUGCCCCAAAGCCAGGAGAGGAUAGGUCACUCACAGUUCAUAGCUCAGCUCAGACAUCACCCCCUCUCGGCAGCUUUCCUUCCCCCGCCACAGCAGCUCUGCCACUCCUCUGUACUCAGUGGUUUACUCACCUGUCUGCCUCCCCCACUGGACUGUGAGAGGAUGGAAACAGAUUCUGUCUUGGUCCUCAGACCUCAGGAGACCUGGCACAUAGUAAGUACUCAAUAAACAACUGUGGGACUGAAUGUCCGAAUGAGUGAAGGGAUGAACCAAAUGGUUAUACGUGCCAUUCUACAUAACAAUGGCCUCGCGUGCACACAGGGCUUUCAUUUUUCAAAUCACAUUAAUCACAUUGUCUCAGUAGGACCCAGUGAGAGGCCCCAAUGACAAGGAGAAUGGUAUCAAGCGCACACACAUUUACACAUGCAGCUCCCCUCCGUGUUUAUGUACGUAUAAGAGACCCAUACACCCAUCCAUCCCCAGCCAGCAAGAAAGAUGCCAUGACGUGCUAUUUCCUGUUUUGUCUGCAAACGCCGAGGCGUCCUCUAUUUUUUCCCCCACCCCGGCGCGCGCGCGCGCGCACACACACACACACACACACUUGCGCAGGGCCGGUUUUCCUCCUUAGCUGAAAGAGAGUAAAAGAGAGCCAGCCGUCCACAAGGGGGCAUUCAAAGACCAUCAAACACAAUGUCUCAAAGCCACGACUGCUACCUAAACUUGAUCUUGAAGAGAAAAGAAGAUCCCAGGGAAAACUGAAGAGGCAGGGUGGGGUCUCGCAUGGAAACGAGAAGAGGAAGUGGUCAGCCACUGGAGAAGCAGGGCUGAUGGAGAUGGCGGCUCCGUCUAAAUAAUAGAAAUGGUAAUAACCCUCACUCUUCGUAUUUACUAAAUAUUUACCAAGCACUGGUGCCUGGUCUAAGCACUUCACAUGUCACGACUGGUUUAAUCUUCCUCUCACCUCUGCAAGGUUCAAUACUGCUAUCAUUCUGGCUUUAUAGAUGAAAAAACAAAUGAAUCAGAAAAACUGAGUAACUUGCCCAGGGUCACUCAGUGGUGAAGUAGGAAUUCAAACCCAGGACCUGUUAUCCAUAGGUCACACUGUUAAACUACUCUGCUGCCUUGAAGCUGGACUUUCAGACAUCCUACUUCUCAGCCCAGGAUUCUCUCUGCCGGACUCUACUUCUCACAGAUCAAGGCCCUUUUGGGUGGUUGUUGAAGGACCUAGAAGCUGAUUUCCUAAGAGUGAAUAACGGUGCCCUGAAGCUGACCCCUCAUCCGCUAUAAACUGUUGAUGCUGGGUUGGUGUAGUGCCUUUGGAAAGCAGUAAAGCAAUUAUUAGCAAAAGGCCUAAAGCUCUUCCUUCCCCUUUGACCCUAUAAUCUCAUUCCUGGGAAAUUAUUCCAAGGAAAUUAUCCAAACAGAAGCCAAGUGUUAUCUGCAUGCAUGCGUGCCCUGAAGUCUUUCUUUAAAGGUCAAAAACUGGAAGGACAAUAAGGAAGUGGUUUAAUACUCUGGGGCAUCAUUACAAUGGACAGUCCAGCCUGGAAAAGCACAGUUGUGUUAACUGUGAUGGGAAUGGGCACUCGGAGGAUGCUUCUGCUGCACAGUGUAUCACCACCACACUCCCACCUCACUAGCCAAUUCAACAAAUCACGCUUGUCAAGGAGAGAGAAGUCUCUUUGUUCAUGCUCAAAAUAAACUUAGCCUCUGAUGCCCCAAAGGAACAGAAGAGAAGCUUAAAUGCAACAAAAACAAUAACCUCAAUAAUUCUUGGGUUUUGAGUUUCCAAGGCCCCAGUUCGUGAUGAUGUAUGACAUUUUCUGAGAGUGAUUUUGAUGAUUGGUUAUUGAUGAUUUUCACCUUUCACACUGUUCUUGUGACUAAGCUAUCUAAUUCUUCAUAUUAAAUUGUGUUA